AUGAGAUUCCCCUCGCCCAGGGAUGUAGACAAGGCAUGUUUCGCUGAAACCAUGAAUAUAAAAAGUUGUGGGGCUGUGAUAAGUCUUAAGAAGUGGUCUGAAUCUGUUGGUGCCAAGGGUGUACUUAACAUUGCUUGGGUCAAUGUUAGCAACAUCCCUUUGGACAAAAGGCAUGAAAUGAACAUUGCAUAUGUUGGAUCUUUGGUGGGUGUGACCUUGGAAAUUGAUAAAUCCACUGUAACAGACCUGAAUCGGUCAGAAUUAAGUUGGGUUGCAGAGAUGCUGAAAAUAUCCCAGGAAAAGCUGAGGGAGUGCUGGGUGACCACUUCUAUGAUUUCUUCUACUCUGUUGACAAGAUUCUGGUUAAAAAUCCUCCAAAAGAAAGUGUUACUAUGGCUCAGGUAUCUGACAAAGGUGUGUCACCAAAGAGAGCUAGGAUUAACGAAAAUAUUCGAAAUGCUGGACAGGGGGACUCCUCUUCUACUAUGGGGAACCUUUCUGUCCCACCAAACUCUGUUGGAAAUGGAGGUAAUAUGA
rnacentral:rRNA from 1 species